rnacentral:lncRNA from 1 species
GCCCGGCUGCUGCUCGGGUUUCAAAUACCACGGGGAGGGUGUGAGAAACAAACACACACACACGGGGUCAGGGACGUGGCUCCCACCCCUCAGCUUUUCUUCUUUAGUCCUCAUUUUUAGAUUUUUUUUUCUUCUUUUUUUCCAUUUUUUUAUCUUUUUUUUUUUUCUGUUUAAUGUUUUUUUAUCUUUUUACUUUCUUUUUUCUCUUCUUUUUUUUCUUCCUUUUCUCUUUUUUCUUCUCUUUUUUCCUUUUCCUUUUUAUUUUUUCCUUUUCUCUUUUUACUUUCCUCUUUUUUCUCUUUUCUUUUUUUUUCUUUUCUCAUUUUCCUUUUCUCUUUUUUCUCUUUUCUCUUUUUACUUUUCUCAUUUUUCUUUUUUUAUUUACUUUUUUUCAUUUUCCUUUUUUCUCUUUUUCAUUUUCUUUUCCUUUUACUUUUCCAUUUUUCUUAUUUAUUUUUUCAUUUUCCUUUUUUCUUUUUUCUCUUUUUCCUUUCUUUUUUAUUUUUCUUUUUUCAUCUUUUUUUCUUUUUUCCACUUUUUUCUUUUUUCCCCUCUUACUUCUUUUUUUUUUCCUUUUACUUUUCCAUUUUUCUUAUUUAUUUUUUCAUUUUCCUUUUUUCUUUUUUCUCUUUUUCCUUUCUUUUUUAUUUUUCUUUUUUCGUCUUUUUUCUUUUUUCCACUUUUUUCUUUUUUCCACUUUUUUUCUUUUUUCCCCUCUUAUUUCUUUUUUUUCCUCUCUUCUCUUUUUUUCCCCCAGAACCUGCAUCCUCACAAACCUUUACUCCCUCCCUGCCCUCAAACCUUGCCUCUCCACCUGCUUCCUUUUUCCCACCCCCAUUUUUCCCAUUUUUAUCCAGCCACGAACCCUCUCUUCCCCUUUCCCUCUCUUCCAAACCCCUUUUCCCUCCCGAAUUAUUCCUCCAGGGAGGACCAAGGUCGAGCAUCCUUGUCCCCAUCACGGCCGAGGGAGAGAAGCCACCGCAUUUUGCUGCCUCCCCGCCCGGGGUGAUGCAGGGAUGGGGAUCCAGCGCUGCUCCAGCCUGAUCCAGAUGAUAAAAUUUGGAAUUUGGAGGCGGAGGAGCUGCCCAGCCCAGCCCAGCCCAGCCCAGCCCAGCCCGGCCGGAGCCGGGGGUCUGCGCUCCAUCAGCCGCGGCCGGGAUGCAGGAGCUGGACCACGAGGUGCAAAUUGACGUGAGCGGGAUGCUGGCAGCACCUCGGGCUGAUGAAAGGACAUCGUUAACGAGCCCUUGACGUUUCUCAUUAAUGGCUGGCGUGGGCGGGUGAGUUUUUGAGCUGAAAAAAGCCAGAAGACAAAAAAAGCCAGAAGACCAAAAAAAUAAAUAAAAAAUAAAAAUUAAAUAAAAAUAAAAA